CUGCUGCCUCCCGUAGGAGUCCGGGCCGUGUCUCAGUCCCAGUGUGGGGGGCCUUCCUCUCAGAACCCCUACGCAUCGUCGCCACGGUGGGCCGUCACCCCGCCGUCUAGCUAAUGCGCCGCAUGCCCAUCCGCCACCGGAUCGCUCCUUUGGCCACCGGAGGAUGCCCUCCGGUGGCGUCACGGGGUAUUAGGCCGCGUUUCCGCGGGUUAUCCCCCUGUGGCGGCCAGGUUGCAUACGUGUUACUCACCCGUGCGCCGGUCGCCGGCGGGACG
rnacentral:rRNA from 1 species